CCUACGGGAGGCAGCAGUGGGGAAUUUUGGACAAUGGGCGCAAGCCUGAUCCAGCUAUUCCGCGUGUGGGAAGACGGCCUUCGGGUUGUAAACCACUUUUGUAGAGAACGAGAAGACUAUUGAUAAUACCGAUAGAUGAUGACGGUACUCUAAGAAUAAGCACCGGCUAACUACGUGCCAGCAGCCGCGGUCAUAAGUAGGUUGCGAGCGGUAGUAGGAGUUACUGGGUGUAAAGGGUGUGCAGCCGGUUUUGCAAGAUGGAUGUGAAAGCCCCGGGCUUAACCUGAGAAAGCAAUGCAUGACUGUAAGUCUAGAGUGCUGCAGAGGGGGGUGGAAUUCCAAGUGUAGCAGUGAAAUGCGUAGAUAUUUGGAAGAACACCGAUGGCGAAGGCAGCCCCCUGGGACGCAACUGACGCUGAGGCGCGAAAGCGUGGGGAGCAAACAGGAUUAGAUACCCUUGUAGUC
rnacentral:rRNA from 1 species